UUGAACGCUGGCGGCAGGCCUAACACAUGCAAGUCGAGCGGUAGCACAGAGAGCUUGCUCUCGGGUGACGAGCGGCGGACGGGUGAGUAAUGUCUGGGAAACUGCCUGAUGGGGGGGGAUAACUACUGGAAACGGUAGCUAAUACCGCAUAACGUCGCAAGACCAAAGUGGGGGACCUUCGGGCCUCAUGCCAUCAGAUGUGCCCAGAUGGGAUUAGCUGGUAGGUGGGGUAACGGCUCACCUAGGCGACGAUCCCUAGCUGGUCUGAGAGGAUGACCAGCCACACUGGAACUGAGACACGGUCCAGACUCCUACGGGAGGCAGCAGUGGGGAAUAUUGCACAAUGGGCGCAAGCCUGAUGCAGCCAUGCCGCGUGUGUGAAGAAGGCCUUCGGGUUGUAAAGCACUUUCAGCGGGGAGGAAGGCGGUGAGGUUAAUAACCUCAUCGAUUGACGUUACCCGCAGAAGAAGCACCGGCUAACUCCGUGCCAGCAGCCGCGGUAAUACGGAGGGUGCAAGCGUUAAUCGGAAUUACUGGGCGUAAAGCGCACGCAGGCGGUCUGUCAAGUCGGAUGUGAAAUCCCCGGGCUCAACCUGGGAACUGCAUUCGAAACUGGCAGGCUAGAGUCUUGUAGAGGGGGGUAGAAUUCCAGGUGUAGCGGUGAAAUGCGUAGAGAUCUGGAGGAAUACCGGUGGCGAAGGCGGCCCCCUGGACAAAGACUGACGCUCAGGUGCGAAAGCGUGGGGAGCAAACAGGAUUAGAUACCCUGGUAGUCCACGCUGUAAACGAUGUCGAUUUGGAGGUUGUGCCCUUGAGGCGUGGCUUCCGGAGCUAACGCGUUAAAUCGACCGCCUGGGGAGUACGGCCGCAAGGUUAAAACUCAAAUGAAUUGACGGGGGCCCGCACAAGCGGUGGAGCAUGUGGUUUAAUUCGAUGCAACGCGAAGAACCUUACCUGGUCUUGACAUCCACAGAACUUUCCAGAGAUGGAUUGGUGCCUUCGGGAACUGUGAGACAGGUGCUGCAUGGCUGUCGUCAGCUCGUGUUGUGAAAUGUUGGGUUAAGUCCCGCAACGAGCGCAACCCUUAUCCUUUGUUGCCAGCGGUCCGGCCGGGAACUCAAAGGAGACUGCCAGUGAUAAACUGGAGGAAGGUGGGGAUGACGUCAAGUCAUCAUGGCCCUUACGACCAGGGCUACACACGUGCUACAAUGGCAUAUACAAAGAGAAGCGACCUCGCGAGAGCAAGCGGACCUCAUAAAGUAUGUCGUAGUCCGGAUUGGAGUCUGCAACUCGACUCCAUGAAGUCGGAAUCGCUAGUAAUCGUAGAUCAGAAUGCUACGGUGAAUACGUUCCCGGGCCUUGUACACACCGCCCGUCACACCAUGGGAGUGGGUUGCAAAAGAAGUAGGUAGCUUAACCUUCGGGAGGGCGCUUACCACUUUGUGAUUCAUGACUGGGGUG
rnacentral:rRNA from 1 species